AUAAACUGAAUUUGUCAGAACUGGAAUGAGUGGUUGAUUGAUCACCCUAAUUGUUGGCCUCCUUUUGGAAAUGACAGAAUGCCAAUCUUUGGCAUGAUUUGUUUAUAUGCACUAAAAUAAUUGACCUGACCGACCCAGAGAUGCUAUAAAGGCUUUAAAUUAAAAAAGAAAAAAUGAUCGCAGAGCUCCUCCUGGAACCUGUCAAGCUCACCACAUCCCAUAAUGUAAGGUAUGAUAGGGACCAUCUAAAAAAUUUAGGGCCUUUGACUGUGAAAAUCCUGCAUAGAUGGAUCAUGUUGUCUUUCUUUGGUAAAACUGGAAUUCCCAUGUAGAGUGAUGAGAUUAAUUUUGUCAGGGAUUAUGUUCUGAAUUCCAGCUUUUUUCCCUUCUCUCUCUAGCACUGUUGCAUUCUGCUGACAUGUCCGCUUUAUUCUAGCACUUGGUUGUUUUUGGUGCCUGACUUUCCUGGGGUCUGAAGGGAUGAUACACUACAUGUAUUGCAAAUGUGCCUGCCAUUAACUCGUCACCGGGUUCCAGCCUGAAAUUCCAUUAUCUCUUCAGACUUUUAUCAAUCCUAACUCAGGCUUUCCUCGAGUCCUGGCUCCAGGAUUUUUUGGUUUUCCCUUCUCCCCAAGUAUGCAUGAUUCCUUUCUGUUUGUUUUUUGAGACUGGGUCUUCCUAUGUAUUCUAUGGUGGCCUUGAACUUGCUGUAUAGCCUGGGCUGGCCUGGAACUGGCGAUUUUUCUGCCUCAGCUUCCCUCAGUGCUGGGAUUAUAGGCAUAUGCCACCAUGACCUUCUCCUUAUUUCCUUACAAUAGUUUUUUUGCAUGUUGGGCAUAUCACCUGAGGUUGGUGCUUUAAAUGGCAGUAGUUUCCUACUGAAAUCAAGAGUUUAAUCUGGUCAGGUAGUACUGCUAGAGCCAGGUCUGCAGCUCUGUGUCCUCUUUAGUGCAAUCCCAGGAGGGAUUGCAGCACUCCCUGCCCUGGAGCUUAGUUGCUCCCUGCUCUAGUCACUUGGGAGACCACCUCAAGUGCUCAUUUGCCUUCAAGGGAAAUGUGAUCCUGAUUAUCCUUGCCUGCAACAGAAGGAUUAUGUGGAUUAAAGGAAAUCCGUGGGUAAUCCAGAAGCUUUAUUUUAAACUGUAGUUUAACCACAUUCCUGACCAUAGUUGUCCUUGCAUUUCUAAUAACUAAUUUAUGAUAUUUUCUAAUUGCACAUUUCAAUAACUAAUUUAUAUUAUUUACCAACUGUACCCCUUCUGUUAUUUAGAAGCAAUGGCAGUUGUGAAGUACAGAAAAAAUGGAAGGAGUCUAAGGAGUUAGAUGACCAACCAGCAUUGCCCAAAUAAUUUGGCGUUCACUAUGGUUUAACCACUAUGCUUGUUAGACCUUGAAGACCUGAAUUCCUUGAAUUCUUUACCUACUGAGCCACUGGAAGGAAUUUGGAGUGACUGUCAACAGGAUGUCAGACUCCAUUUUGACAUAUUUAAGUUCUAGGGUUUGAACUCAGGGUCUAUGCUUGCUAAGCCCUUGAACCACUUGAACCACACCUCCAGCUCUUAAAAUAUACUGUGAUUGUGACUGCUAAAAGCCUGGACAACUGACUUGCUUUUACUUGAUCAGGGUGUUGACCUUGGUGACUCUAGUGUCAUAGAGCCUCCCAGCCUGUUUGAUCUGGUGCUUAUUGCCUUGCUGUCCACAGUGAACUUAAUGAAUCUUCCAAUCUGAAAAAGUCUUCCAAGAAAAUUUCAGUUUUAAAAAUAAGUAAUGUCACCCAUUUUCCUAAAAGAUUGAAAUGGGAGCUAUCAUUUUGAGGGCCCCGUGGUUAGAAUGUGCUUCAACUUCAUGAUGCCUUCUGCUAUGGCAGACAUCCUUGACAUCUGGGCAGUGGACUCACAGAUAGCGUCUGAUGGCUCCGUAUCUGUGGGAUUUCCUUUGCCCACUGGCAUUUAUAUCCAGUUGGAUGUACCUCGGGAAGCUACCAUUUCUUAUAUUAAGCAGAUGUUAUGGAAGCAAGUUCACAAGACCCAUGUUUAACCUCCUUAUGGAAAUUGACUCCUACAUGUUUGCAUGUGUGAAUCAAACUGCGGUAUAUGAGGAGCUUGAAAUGAAACACGAAGACUUUGUGAUGUCAGACCUUUUCUUCCAGUUCUCAAAUUAGUGACAAAAGUUGUGACCCUGCAGAAAAAUUGGACUCAAAAAUUGGUGUCCUUAUAGAAAAGGUAAUUUAAAAGUCUUCAUGAAUUGAUGCCUUGAAGGAUCCUGAAGUGAAUGAAUUUCGAAGAAAAUGCGUAAAUUCAGUGAGGAAAAGAUUCAUCUCUUGUGGGAUUAUCGUGGAUUGACUGGCUGAAGCAGACAUAUCCUCCAGAGCACGAACCAUCUGUCCUUGAAACUUGGAAGAUAAACUUUAUGGAGGAAAGCUCAUUGUGGCUGUUCACUUUGAAAAUAGUCAGGAUGUGUUUAGCUUUCAAGUAUCUCCUGAUAUGAAUCCUAUCAAAAUAAAUGAGUUGGCAAUCCAGAAGCGUUUGACUGUUCAUGGGAGGGAGGAUGAAGCCAGCCCCUAUGACUAUGUGCUGCAAGUCAGUGGCAGAGUGGAGUAUGUGUUUGGUGAUCACCCGCUGAUUCAGUUCCAGUAUAUCCGGAACUGUGUGAUGAAUAGGACCCUGCCCCAUUUUAUACUUGUGGAAUGCUGCAAGAUCAAGAAAAUGUAUGAACAGGAAAUGAUUGCCAUCGAGGCUGCUAUAAGUCGGAAUUCAUCCAACCCUCCUCUUCCUUUGCCACCAAAGAAAACACGAGUUAUUUCUCAUGUUUGGGACAAUAACAACCCUUUCCAAAUUGUCUUGGUGAAGGGAAAUAAACUUAACACAGAAGAAACUGUCAAAGCCCAUGUCAGGGCUGGGCUUUUUCAUGGUACGGAGCUCCUGUGUAAAGCCAUCGUAAGCUCAGAGACAUCAGGGAAGAAUGAUCACAUUUGGAACGAACCACUGGAAUUUGAUAUUAAUAUUUGUGACUUGCCAAGAAUGGCUCGGUUAUGUUUUGCUGUCUAUGCGGUUUUGGAUAAAGUAAAAACGAAGAAAUCAACUAAAGCUAUUAAUCCCUCUAAAUACCAGACCAUCCGGAAAGCUGGAAAAGUGCAUUAUCCUGUAGCAUGGGUGAACACAAUGGUCUUUGACUUUAAAGGACAGUUGAGGUCUGGAGACGUGAUACUGCACAGCUGGUCUUCAUUUCCUGAUAUGACUGAAGAAAGUGUGAAUCCAAUGGGAACUUUCAGACAACCUUACACUGAAAAUGCAACUGCUUUGCACAUUAAAUUUCCAGAGAAUAAAAAGCAUCCCUAUUAUUACCCGCCUUUUGAUAAGAUUAUUGAAAAGGCAGCUGAGAUUGCAAGCAGUGAUAGUGCUAAUGUGUCAAGUCGAGGAGGAAAAAAGUUUCUUGCGGUACUGAAAGAAAUCUUGGAUAGGGAUCCCCUGUCUCAGCUGUGUGAGAAUGAAAUGGAUCUUAUUUGGACUUUGCGACAAGACUGCAGAGAGAAUUUCCCACAGUCACUGCCAAAAUUACUCCUUUCAAUCAAGUGGAAUAAACUUGAAGAUGUGGCUCAGCUUCAGGCGCUACUUCAAAUUUGGCCUAAACUGCCCCCCCGGGAAGCUCUGGAACUUCUAGAUUUCAACUAUCCAGACCAGUAUGUCCGGGAGUACGCUGUGAGCUGCCUGCGACAGAUGAGUGAUGAAGAACUGUCUCAGUAUCUUCUACAACUGGUGCAAGUUUUAAAAUACGAGCCUUUUCUUGAUUGUGCGCUCUCUAGAUUCCUACUAGAAAGAGCACUUGCUAAUCGGAGGAUAGGGCAGUUUCUGUUUUGGCAUCUUAGGUCAGAGGUGCACAUUCCUGCUGUGUCAGUACAAUUUGGUGUCAUCCUUGAAGCGUACUGUCGAGGAAGUGUGGGACACAUGAAAGUGCUUUCUAAACAGGUUGAAGCACUCAACAAGUUAAAAACUUUAAAUAGUUUAAUCAAACUGAAUGCAAUGAAGCUAAACAGAGCUAAAGGAAAGGAGGCCAUGCACACUUGUUUAAAACAGAAUGCAUACCGGGAAGCCCUCUCUGACCUGCAGUCACCUCUGAAUCCAUGUGUCAUCCUCUCAGAACUCUAUGUGGAAAAGUGCAAAUACAUGGACUCCAAAAUGAAGCCGUUGUGGUUGGUGUACAGCAACAAGGUGUUUGGUGAGGAUUCGGUCGGAGUGAUUUUUAAAAACGGUGAUGAUUUGCGACAGGAUAUGUUAACACUCCAAAUGUUGCGCUUGAUGGAUUUGCUCUGGAAAGAAGCUGGUCUGGAUCUUCGGAUGCUGCCUUAUGGCUGUUUAGCAACAGGAGAUCGCUCUGGCCUCAUUGAAGUUGUGAGCACCUCUGAGACGAUUGCUGACAUUCAGCUGAACAGUAGCAAUGUGGCUGCUGCAGCAGCCUUCAACAAAGAUGCCCUUCUCAACUGGCUUAAGGAAUACAAUUCUGGGGAUGACCUGGAUCGAGCAAUUGAGGAGUUCACCCUGUCCUGUGCUGGCUACUGUGUAGCUUCUUAUGUCCUCGGGAUUGGUGACAGACAUAGUGACAACAUCAUGGUAAAAAAAACUGGCCAGCUCUUCCACAUCGACUUUGGACAUAUUCUUGGAAAUUUCAAAUCUAAAUUUGGUAUUAAAAGGGAGCGAGUGCCUUUUAUUCUUACUUAUGACUUUAUUCAUGUCAUUCAACAAGGAAAAACAGGAAACACAGAAAAAUUUGGCCGGUUCCGCCAGUGUUGUGAAGAUGCAUACCUGAUUUUACGACGGCACGGGAAUCUCUUCAUCACUCUCUUUGCACUGAUGUUGACUGCAGGACUCCCCGAGCUCACAUCAGUCAAGGAUAUACAGUAUCUUAAGGACUCUCUUGCUUUAGGGAAAAGUGAAGAAGAAGCACUCAAACAAUUUAAGCAAAAAUUUGAUGAGGCACUCAGGGAAAGCUGGACUACUAAAGUGAACUGGAUGGCCCACACAGUCCGGAAAGACUACAGAUCUUAACGACCAGCCUUUGCUCCUAAUGUUCCCCUUAGUUUUGUUUUGUUUUCAUUUUGCACUUGCACUAAAUUGAACAAGACCCUGCCAGAGAUGUUAUAAAGGGAAUGAAAUCCUUUAUAUGAACUCAGAGAUAAAUAAGAACAAGGCACCCCACAGAAACUAAUGUGAACAAUCCCUGACAACUACACUCUGCUUUUUGAAUGCUUCCAAGACUCAUCAUGAAUCCUGUCAACAUUAUGGAUAAUCAUUUCCUGCUGACUUUGCACGCCAAGGAAUGAAUGCUACUAGGGAUUGUUUGAUGUCUCUUUUUUGUUUUUUAAAGUGUUUGGUACUUUAUGAGAAAGGUGUAAAUACUUAUUUUCAGUGUUGUGACCAGGUGUUACCAUUCAGCCAACAACUUGUCCACACCUGGGGACUGUUCUUAUUUUCCAAAUGAAGCAUCAAAGAAAGUUAUCUUCCUUCCCUUUUAAAAUUGUAUAAAGUACAAAUUAUAAUCUGAAUCUAAGAUUAUUUUUCAAAAGAAAUCUUUUAAUCCUAUGGAAACUCAUUAAUUUUGUUAAUAUUUAUCUACCUGGUAGUAUCAUUCCAGCCAGACUUGCUGAAAAUCUGUUGGUGAGGUGAACAUAAUAUAUAUAUAUAAAAUAUGCUGCAUUUAUAUUUAUAAAAUUUCUAGUGGGAGUUCUAUAUAAAAAGAUGUUUCUUUGGUAUUCUCUAGCCUGUAUUUAAAGUUUUACAAAAAGCGGAGCUUUUUCCUAAGUUACCUUUCAGUUGGUUAACUGCGAUCCAGUUCUUCCAGCUGCUUCUGUAAUGAGGCACAUAUUAAUAUACUUUUUAUAUGGUAUCUGUGAAAGAAUUCACUUCAUAGUACAUAAUACUUGAGCAGAUGUAUCGAUGAAAGCAAGCAAAUGAAAAGGAACCUAUUUAUGGAAUAAACUCCAGACCUAAAAUUCAGUAUUUUAGUAAAAUGCCAGCUAUUCUUACUGUAUUUAUUAAAACUUGUAAUAAUGUGAUUUUUCAAUGAUACUAGUUCACACUGAAAUGGUUUCAUGCCACAUGGAAGUCUUCAGUUUAUUUCUUGAGGUACCACACACUUAGGGUGCUGGGUGUGAAUAAUGUUAAUAUGUGCAAUAGGAACUACUGGCUUGAUGUGCAGGUGAAGUAGACACUCUGAGUACUGGCACGAUCCAGCAGAACCACUGCUUAUUCUCCAAAGGAUAUUGGGGGCUCUCAGUCCUCAAUGAAUGGGAAAGACAGCUGAGUUCUUGCCCUGUGACUGAGUCUUCUAUAGGAAUUUUAUUAAAGGUUGUUUAAUUUUGUUGUCCUUCUUAAUGUUCUCAGUCAAAUAAAUGGGUGAGCUGGUUUCAGCUGGUUUUGG